rnacentral:lncRNA from 1 species
GCCAUGUCCUUUAACCUUGCAGCCGGCUGACUGCUGGCUGAGAACAUGACCCCAAAUAGACCUGUUUCCCUUUGGUUUGUGCGGAUCAAAGGCUGGUCCCGGCACCAGAAAAGUGACUACGGCAAGUGGUAGCCGAAACUGUCUCACCGCCUGGAGUCAGCGUGUGCAGGAAUUUGGGUGGCUCCCCUCACUUACCCUCUGCAAAAUAUCCUGACUCUUCUGUAAGACUCUACGGAAGGGAGACUUGCUACCCCAGGGCAAAGGAAACACUGCAUUUGAACUAUCACAGUUUUUGUCCUUCUUGUUGACCAUUUGUUCCCCCAGAUUAAAAUGACAAUGUCAUGGUGAGUGCACGAAAACUGAGCAGCAAGAGCAACA